CAAUUGAACCUCCACUCUGUCAUAAUUAAUACAACUAGAUAAUGUGUAUCAGCUGAUAUAUGGGUCCGAUAACAUUUUAUGAAAUUGGAAUCGCACCACA